rnacentral:piRNA from 1 species
UGAUUUAGUAUGGUGAUAUUGAGAUGAC